rnacentral:tRNA from 1 species
GGGGAUAUAGCUCAGUUGGUAGAGUGCUUGCCUUGUCCUUGCAUGCACAAGGCCCUGGGUUCAAUCCCCAGCUCCA